rnacentral:tRNA from 1 species
AAGAGCUUAAGAUAAGUUAAAUAAGUCUGCUAAGUUGUCUAUUUUGUAGUCUCCUCUGGGGAGGGCUCUUA